CACACGUGGCCUCGGUGUCCGUAUCUGCAAAAGGAGGAUAAUCAGAGUUAACUGAGGCAUCCAGGGAGAUCCAGGCAUCCUACCUGUGGAAGAUUGGAAAAAAAAGACCCUUCUACUUCACGGCGUGAGCUUUAGAAGGGGAACUAUUGCCUGCUUACUCCAUGAAGACAGAAAGCCAAGACUGAAUAUGCAUACAAGAGGCACUAUAUCAAGCCUGUCUUUACCUGUGGAUGAGCAAACAAGAACUGCUGUGGGUCACUUGGUCAGGGUUCUCUCUACCCAAGUGGCAUGUGGCCUGAAAUACAUGGCACCUCUUUCUUUCCCUAUUGUAUCCAUUUUAGGUCGAGGAUUGGAGUUAGAAUUACCUUAAUGAGCUUUAAAGAGUUGGAAUAGCUAAUAGAGAGCUUGCCAGCAGCACUAAAAGUGAACCCAAAAUUGGUCCAGUCCAGUGGUGAAUCUACUCAGAGAUGAAGACUCUGCAGCAAGUAAAAGCAAACACUUACCUGCUAUGCAACACUCAAAAAUGAAUUCAAUGAAAAUAUUAGUAGCAACUACUUUACAUUUGAACCCACUCUCUCCAGGGAAUUGAGGUAGUCCAGGGAAGAGAGUAUUCAAAUGUAAAUGGUUUUAUGGGGUAUGUGAUGAGAGGAGGCAGUUUUUAAUUUCUUGGAAUAAUUUUAAAGUAAAUAUUCCUUCAUAAAAUUAAGUGAUGUUAAUUGGUUGUCAGUGAUCCUGAGGAGAUACCAAUUAGUAUUAGUAAAUUAUAUUGAGGAAAUAAUAAUCACUGAAAUUACUACUGAGCAGAGAACAGUGAAAUGACAGCUGAGCCAAUACCAUUAUAAAGACAACUGAACCCAUUCAGGAUACCUCUAGAAUCCCAGUGGGGAGAAACAACCAAAGUCUAGGGAUCCAGCCUACCUUCCAGUGGGAGGUUGGAAGAAUAAAUCCAGAGCCUUUAUUUCCUACAAAAAGAAUUCACAGAAAACUGAGAAUGUAUUAAAGUAAUAAAAUUUACCAAUUUUUUUAAGAGCCACAAAUUUUUCAGUCCUUUGAAAGAAGAAAAGGAAGUUUUGUGAACAUUUUAAACCUGGAAAAAAUUAAAGAUCUUUCUCUUGGAAA